CAGGGCCCAACAGGACCACAAGGGACCAGAGGACCUCCAGGACCACAAGGCAUGCCAGGCCCUCUGGGUAGUCUGGGACCCCCAGGUUCACCUGGCUCUGUUGGAAAGUUAGGUGCAAGAGGAGCAAAGGGUGAGCCUGGUGACCCUGGAGAGAAGGGCCCAGUCGGACCACCUGGACAGAGAGGCAUGCCUGGCAUGGAUGGCAGAGAUGCCUAUGGUCCUGAAGGAAGCAAAGGAGCAAAGGGAGAAUCUGGAUUCAUAGGAUAUCCUGGCCCAGAGG